UACAUUUUAGUGUAUGAGGCACGAGAAUUUUUGAUAUUUUAAGGAACAGUUUAAUUCUGUUAAAUGCAA
rnacentral:tRNA from 1 species